CAGAACGCAGGCUGCCCACGGCACGGAAACUCGCUUGAUUUUUUGGUUCUUAGGUCAAGUCAUGUGAUUGCUCCGAGGUGUACCACCUAUAGAAUCUGUGACUGGUGGAACGUUCAUUCUUUAAAGUCAAGAUGUCACUGAGAGUCAUCCAAUUAUUCUACUAUAAAGAGAGCCUUUCCAGAAAGUGAUAGAUUGUCUUCCUGGGCCUGGCUGCAGUUUGCCUCCAGACACAAUUUCAUGGCUUACUGGGUAAGUUUGUGGUCGACUGGAAAGUAAAUGAAUUGCUUGAGCAGGGGCUCAUUUUUCAGGGCUUGUCCAUUUGCAGAAUCUGUGUGACUUCUCUGUCACCUUGGGGACUCUGACCUAACUCAGAGCUACACAGAGUUCAUUUUCAUCUGUCAUCUCAGCCCAUCUCCUUCUGAGUCAAAUACUUAUUUGUAAAAUUUUCCUUCUGUAAGUACUUUGUAGGGUGUCAUGGAUCCUUUAAACACCAAGACUGCCAACUCGAUUCUCCUCAGCCUAUAGUCGUCCUUUAACAAAAAUACACAUUAUGCUUUCCACAAAUAGACUGUAAUUGGGUGGUGUGCACUGCAUGGCUCUUGACCUCCUCUUGAACUCAUUGUCCAAUGUGCAUUGCGCGUCUUUGCCAAGGUUACCCUGCACAGCUCUGCUAUUCUGAGACUUCUGGCUGUUGGAGGAAAAUGGUUCUUGAGGGGGUCUUGGGCAUCUGUCACCUCAUAUUCCCAGAGGAUUUUUAGCCAGAUCUUGUCCUCUCAAGGGUUCAAAAGUUUCCCUGGACUCAUGGGUAUACUUUCAAGGCAGAGGGCAA